UACGUAGGGGGCUAGCGUUGUUCGGAAUUACUGGGCGUAAAGCGUGCGUAGGCGGGUUGCUAAGUCAGGUGUGAAAUCCCGGGGCUCAACCUCGGAACUGCAUUUGAUACUGGCGGCCUAGAGACCGGGAGAGGUGAGCGGAAUACCGAGUGUAGAGGUGAAAUUCGUAGAUAUUCGGUGGAACACUAGUGGCGAAGGCGGCUCACUGGACCGGUACUGACGCUGAGGCACGAAAGCGUGGGGAGCAAACAGG
rnacentral:rRNA from 1 species